rnacentral:rRNA from 1 species
AUUGAACGCUGGCGGCAUGCUUUACACAUGCAAGUCGAACGGCGGCACGGGCUUCGGCCUGGUGGCGAGUGGCGAACGGGUGAGUAAUGCGUCGGAACGUGCCGAGUAAUGGGGGAUAACGCAUCGAAAGGUGUGCUAAUACCGCAUACGCUCUGAGGAGGAAAGCGGGGGACCUUUGGGCCUCGCGUUACUCGAGCGGCCGACGUCUGAUUAGCUAGUUGGUGGGGUAAAGGCUCACCAAGGCGACGAUCAGUAGCGGGUCUGAGAGGAUGAUCCGCCACACUGGGACUGAGACACGGCCCAGACUCCUACGGGAGGCAGCAGUGGGGAAUUUUGGACAAUGGGCGAAAGCCUGAUCCAGCCAUGCCGCGUGAGUGAAGAAGGCCUUCGGGUUGUAAAGCUCUUUUGUCCGGGAGGAAAUCCCGUAACCUAAUACGUUACGGGGAUGACAGUACUGGAAGAAUAGGCACCGGCUAACUACGUGCCAGCCGCCGCCGUAACAC